CUCUGUUUCCCAACCUCUCUCUCUCUCACUAGGGUUUUCAAAACCCCCUUUCACCUAAACCCACCAUUGAUCCAUGAGAGAGACUUGGAGAGCACUCGAAAGAAGGAGAAGAAGAAAAAGAAGAAAAAGGAGAAGAAUGAGGGGAAAUCCAGACAUCGGAUGCUUAAGUUAUGAAAUCUGGAGAUAAUAUGAGGUGACGCAAAUAAUGGACGGGUUGGAUGGCCUUCAUACAUCACAUGGCCCCAACUCUGUUUUGAGUGCAAUGAAUCAAGAAUACAUUGUAAGUGAGUUCAGAACUGUGGUAGAUACUUUCAAUCAACUGGUACCUGAAAUACAGAUUGCAACAGAUAUAAUUUGCGGAUUCCCUGGUAUGUUACCACAUAGAUGUAG